UAAAUGUGGACUGCCUGAGGAGGAGAAUAUUCCCCUCAUCAUUAUUUCAGGAUUGCAUAAGUAGAAAAUGGUGACAGCUAUGUACAGAUCAUGGUAUGUAGAGAUACAGCCACAACCUGAAGGGGCUCAUCCCCUCUCUAUUUUAUAUGAUCUCCUCUAUCCUGAUAAUUACUCCUCUGCCUCCUGCUGAAGAUUAUAUGAAGCACAUUCUUCUCUAAAGUCACAGGACUCCAGGAGUUCAUGUCACCCAGACUGGCAAAAAUAAUGGACAAAUGAGAGGAAGAUGGAACCAAAUAAUGGAAACCAAGGACCCACAAAGGACAAUAUAUUUAUAUGUGAUGAGAAACAAGAACAACAAUGGAUCCCAGGAUUUAUUAAAGAGAAAGACCAGCGCUUCAGAAUCUGGGAGUUGCAGGCAUUAAUGUCGGUCUUGAAUUUGUUCUUC
rnacentral:lncRNA from 1 species